GACACCCCUCCUAGCUCUGGGGCUCUGAGAGCCAGAGGCAACCAGGGCAGAAGAUGGUCUGAGUCCAGGAGGCAGGGAGCUUGAACACCACUGCCACCAUGUCUGACGAGGAAGUUGAACAGGGUGAAG